rnacentral:misc_RNA from 1 species
GAAAUGCGAUACGUAGUGUGAAUUGCAGAAUUCUGUGAAUCAUCGAAACCUUGAACGCAAAUUGCGCCCUUUGGCUAUCCGAAGGGCACGCCUGUUUGAGUGUUGGUUUCACUUCUCCUCAAACAAACACACACACUUGUGGUGUGCUUGCAGAGAGGGUUAUGGAAGAUCAAGCAGACAGAGAUGCUUGCUUGUCUUUUCAAAUACAGUGAAAGGUGGUCUUUUGCACGUUAAGCACGGCAAUCAACGUACCAUCGAGCAGUAUGCUGGUGACUCUUGUCUCCUUUGCUGACUCGGUUCUACGUGCCUGCUCUCUCGUCGAGCCUCCUUCGAAGGAACUGAACGAUAAGGGCGGACCUCGGUCCGUUCGAAUGUUCAUCAACCGAACCCUUCAACCUCA